rnacentral:rRNA from 1 species
GCCCGCGCCCCGUAAAACGGGACGGCCCGCCCGAGGACCCCUAAACUCUGUUUUUAGUGGAACUUCUGAGUAAAACAAACAAAUAAAUCAAAACUUUCAACAACGGAUCUCUUGGUUCUGGCAUCGAUGAAGAACGCAGCAAAAUGCGAUAAGUAAUGUGAAUUGCAGAAUUCAGUGAAUCAUCGAAUCUUUGAACGCACAUUGCGCCCGCCAGUAUUCUGGCGGGCAUGCCUGUUCGAGCGUCAUUUCAACCCUCAAGCUCAGCUUGGUGUUGGGACUCGCGGUAACCCGCGUUCCCCAAAUCGAUUGGCGGUCACGUCGAGCUUCCAUAGCGUAGUAAUCAUACACCUCGUUACUGGUAAUCGUCGCGGCCACGCCGUAAAACCCCAACUUCUGAAUGUUGACCUCGGAUCAGGUAGGAAUACCCGCUGAACUUAAGCAUAUCAAUAGGCCGGAGGAAAA